rnacentral:rRNA from 1 species
GAUGAACGCUGGCGGCGUGCCUAAUACAUGCAAGGCGAGCGAACAGACGAGGAGCUUGCUCCUCUGACGUUAGCGGCGGACGGGUGAGUAACACGUGGAUAACCUACCUAUAAGACUGGGAUAACUUCGGGAAACCGGAGCUAAUACCGGAUAAUAUAUUGAACCGCAUGGUUCAAUAGUGAAAGACGGUUUUGCUGUCACUUAUAGAUGGAUCCGCGCCGCAUUAGCUAGUUGGUAAGGUAACGGCUUACCAAGGCAACGAUGCGUAGCCGACCUGAGAGGGUGAUCGGCCACACUGGAACUUAGACGCGGUGCCGGCUCCUUGGGGAGGCACCAGUAGGGACUCUUCCGCCUAGGGCGAAAGCCUGACGGAACAACCCCGCGUGAGGGAUGAAGGUCUUCGGAUCGUACAACUCUGUUAUUAGGGAAGAACAAAUGUGUAAGUAAAUAGGCGCGUCUUGACGGUACCUAAUCAGAAAGCCACGGCUAACUACGUG